rnacentral:rRNA from 1 species
UACGUAGGGUGCAAGCGUUACUCGGAAUUACUGGGCUUAAAGCGUGUGUAGGUGGAUGCCUAAGUACCUUGUGAAAUCCCACGGCUCAACCGUGGAACUGCUUGGUAUACUGGUUCUCUUGAGCCACCUAGGGGCAACCGGAACAAACGGUGGAGCGGUGAAAUGCGUAGAUAUCGUUUGGAACGCCAAUGGUGAAAACAGGUUGCUGGGGGUGUGCUGACGCUGAGACACGAAAGCCAGGGGAGCAAACGGG